UCAGUCCUGCAGCGUUGCACCGCGGGCCUCUGGUGGGGUGGCCGCCAGCCCGCAGCGCCAGGCGCCUCCGCGUCCCUCUGGGACCCCACCCUGCCCCUGGGGCGACGGGCAGCGCUUGCCCUGCUCUGGAAUCCGGAGGAGCUGAGGGCCUGAGCCCCAGCCCAGGCUGCACAACGGGCCGGGAAGCCUCGGGCGCCACCCUCCCGCGCAUGGGCUUGGACAAGCCCCAUCACCGAGCCUCCACUGCCACAGGCCUAACACAGGGACGUCAGCAAUCCCUACUUGGGAAAGCUGCUGAGACGGCUAAGAAGGAGUUGUAUCACUGUCCUCCAGCUCCCCAGCCCCAUGCAAGCCACCUGCACCCACCUCCCUGAGCCUCAGUCUCCCUAGCCAUAAAAUAGGGAUGAGAGAAGUCCAUACAGGGCUCCCCACAGGAGAUCUCUCCACGGAGGAGACGGCAGCAGCUGCCUGGCACCCCUCAGCUCUCAGGAAAAGCAGCUCCUGGGGUUGCCAUGAAAGCUCAGCAGAGCGCCCCAGAGCCUGGCCCCAUGCCUGUGUUCCAGAAGCCCACAGCUUGUCGCAGCCCAGUUGGGGAGCUGCUGGCCUACAGCUCAGCUGGAGCUCCCUGUCACCCCUGCCUCCAAUGGGACACUCCCGUGCAGCUCACAGGUGACUACCAGACAGUGCCCACCUACCCCCCCCCACACCGGCCUCGGCGCCCUCUAUGCUUGAGUCACUGGGCAAAAGCAUUCAGCUUUCUGACCCCAUCCAAAAAAAAUGAAAAUGUCCCAGGCGUCUAAUCCUUCCCUUCCUUUUGGCAACUGAUACCGCCCUGAAACAUAACCAAGGUACUGAAAAUGCAGCAUGGGGGUUCCACCCGGGAGUAGUGGCUUCCUGCAAAGCCGGCCCUGGGACUUGGGGAGCAAAGCAACACCUCGGGUCAGACUCAGCCGUGCCAGGUACGAGAUGGCCCCUGACUCCCACCAGCCCACAUCACAGCAUGUUCCCCAACCGGCCACAAUCUGAGGGGCACACCAAGAACCCUGACGUCCUUCCCAACCAGGGCUGCUGCCUGCCCCCAGAGCCACCCCCCAAAAAAGAUUUGGAAUGGUCUUUGAAAUGAGAUUAAUCCUCAGUUCUCUGACAGUGUCUUUGGGCAUGUGUUUUUAUAACCUCUCUUUCAAAUGAGAACCAUUUGUCGCCGGGAAGCUGGGGAGGCCCAGCCUCAACCACUGGGCCAGACAUCACUGGCACCUGAUUGAAUGUCAAGGACAGUGCAGGGGGCGGGGCUAAAGUGAGGGCAGGAUGGAAGCAGCAGCCAUAACCUGUCCUCUGCUGAUCUCUGCCCCAUCCCCGGCCCCAACCCUGCCUGUCCCCCACACCAGCUGCAUAGACUUGAGCUAGUGACUCGGCCUCUCUCGACCUUACUUUCCUCCUCUGUAAAAUGGGAGGGGUGGUGGCACUUAUCUUCCAGGUCAUGUGCCCAGCUCUGUGCCUGGAAGACAGCAGAUCCUCGACGUUGAAGGAGGCUUCUGAGCACAGGCUUGCCCCCCACCCCCAGCCUUGCCCUGGGGACUCCUGGUUGGAAGGCAAGUGCUCCUGGCUGGGGCCUUCCAGAGGCCUGCACAACUCCACGCUCAGUGUGGCUCCAGCCUCCUCCACCUCCCAGGCUCAGCCCCAGGAGCUUGAUGCUUGUGGAACCAGGGCUCGAAGGAGGGACUCGGAUGAGCUCAGAACUCAGAAUUCCACCUGGGCCUGUCAGAUUCCGCAGCCCCGCUGGCAGGAAGGGAGCAGGGGACAGCAAGCCGCAGGUUCCCGAGACCAUGCCUGCCGCGGUCCCCGAAUCCGUUCACUCCCAAGGAGCUGCUUAGAAACAAUGCCACCGUCACCAGCACCCCCUCCCCGGGCAGGGCCACGCUUGUCCAGUGGAAAUCUUGGACGCCUAAUGACAUAUUUCUGUCCGGGAAGAAAUCUGAACUCUGAAACCGAACUUGAUUAAACCCCAAACUGCAAGACCUUGCCCGAUGGGACCACUCGGGGACUUUGACUUCUGGGUGUCAGAGCUUAAUUAAAAUAUUCAUCCAGCUGCUCUCCCCUCACCAAGGGGGCCCAGAGGAAUUAAACCAAUAAGCUUAAUUCUAUUAUUCACCUGCCUGUGUACACAGAGAUGCAGAAGACCAUUUACUGGUUCAGAAAAAAAUUAUCAGACGCACCCUGCAAAUGCAGCGUGGGCCGUUCCUGAAUCACGAAAUGGUCCCCUAAACAGAGGUCUACACAGCACUCUGGAGUCUCAGCCCCUGACUCCACACGCACACACAGCUAGUUUUAAUCUCCCUUCCAAGCAAACAAAAAUGCCAAGCAAGUCACUGUAAGGACUUCUGUGCGUAUUAUGAUUUAUGUAUCAUUUAUAACAACACGUAACAUUUACUGAAUUCUCUGUGCCACUGUGCCAAGCCUUCCCCAUUUGGCUCUCACGGAAAUCUUCAUUUCCAGUCCACAAAGUGAACACCACUAUUACCCCCACUUGGCAGAUAAGAAAACCAAGGCUCCGUGAGAUAAAGGGACUUGCAGCCCUGAACUCCCAGGCCACAAAGUCUGAGUUCCUAACUCCUGGAAAUGAGGGCUUCACUGACAUUUUGAUCUUUCUGCGUUACAUUUUAAUUAACUUAUCUUCUAUCCACACACACAGGAUACAAUGCAGAAGGUACAGAGGCCGGGAAGGCCAAAGUCAUUCUCAGGCCCUCCCUUCCUCAGCCCCCUGGUUCCCUCCUCAAAGCAGCCGCUGGGGACAAAUCCCCGUGUCUCCUCCCAGAGCUGAGGCUUAUUCCAGCAAAUACAGGUCUAUUGGUUUGUUUGUUUUUUUUGUUUUUUUUUUUUUAAACCGCAUGUGGAGCAUAACAGGUACGCUAUUUUGCAACUUGCUUUUUUCGUUUCAUAAAAUAUCUUGGAGAGUCCUCCACCUCGUCCCUGACGGCAUGCCAUUCCAUUCAAUAGACAUAAUAGACUGAACCGGGAGAUGGUCAAUAUCCAGCCAGGUUUGACCAGCAAAACCAGUUUGCCAGUUUUGCUGGUCAAAACUGGCCACUUAACAUGGUUCUGCUUUAUAUAGAUAUUUUUUAACCUAGUUUCCUGUGAUCCAUGCUUAGAUGGUUUCCUGCCUUUUGCACCUAAAACGGCGCUGUGUUAAAUAUCUUCUCACACACAGGUAUUCUCUGUAGGACAGGUUCCUACAAAUACCACUACCUGUGAUGUGGGGACGGCAAGUCCCCGCUCUUGGCCUGAAGUCUUCGAAAUGCAGCGGCCACACUGGAUCAUCUCUCAAGCCCUGGCAGGCUCCAUUGUUCUGCCAGACGGUAACCCCCACGUCUGUAACGCUGCAUCGGAGCGGUCACCCACCACCAUCCCAUGGAACACAACCACGGCUUCAGCUCAGGGUCCCCCCCAAAUCACUGUGAAAACAAAUGUUUUCCAGCAAACACGAACUCCCUCCCUGCUGACUGUAUUUGUCAGCCAGGGAAUGAGACAUUUCCCCGUGAUCAAUACAAAUGGAAUAGAAAUCUAUCCCAGGCAGCAGCAGCAAGACUUGGUUUUUUUAAUAAGGGGACCUCCAGAGGAUAUUGCAUUCCUAUGACAACAGCCGACAGACCUUGACUUUUAGUGUCAGAACCUGUUUAAUGCAGAGGUCUGCGGCUGGGGCCCAGCCGAGCCGUGGGUGGGGGUCUCAGGCUCAAAAAGGACUGGUUCCUGAAGGCUGCUGCAGAAACCAGCCCACUGCCCCGGCCCGGUGCCUGGCCUCGGCCCCCGGGCCACCUGUUCACAAAGGCAGCCGGAUUUGCCAGCUGGGCUGUGGCGGAGCUGCUGAGGCCGCUGGGCUGGGCUGGGCUGGCCGGAGGUGAGCUGCAGCCACAGAGCCGGUUAUUUACGGCUCGCCAGUGGUCCCCGACGACUAGGCAUCUCCGGGAUGAUGGCAAUUCGCCUUAAACAAGACCAGGUACCUGGCCAAAGGUGGCAGCGAGCAUGAGCAACUGUACUGACCUUGUUGUAAAUUAAUCUGGUAAUAGAGCGACUCAAAGAGACACCCUGAGUUGGUUACUGUGUGAAAAGACUUUGAGACGGGCCAGCUAUGAACUGUCCAGGACAAAGUAGAGGUUCUGUAAACACGAUGCUUGCCCAAACAGCCUAGGUGCCUCUGAGUUGGGUCUCCGGAUUCUUCUGCCUCUUUUAAAAUUAUCUGCUGAU